UAGUUCAGAAAUCUUUGCAAUAGAUAGCAUCAGGAAUGAAAGCCAUGAGCAAUUGAGAAAUUGAAAGAAGCUUCUCUUGGAUGUUAAUGCUUUGCUGGAAUUGACAUUUUGGAGCUACAAAAAGUCAUUUAAUAGUUGCGGCAAUAUCUGAAGGUACUUACUCUUGGAAGCUGAUAGACUCUUCUAUAUAUCUAAGUCAUAAUUUGGUUUUG
rnacentral:lncRNA from 12 species